rnacentral:rRNA from 1 species
AUUGAACGCUGGCGGCAUGCCUUACACAUGCAAGUCGAACGGCAGCACGGGAGCAAUCCUGGUGGCGAGUGGCGAACGGGUGAGUAAUAUAUCGGAACGUGCCCGGUCGUGGGGGAUAACGUAGCGAAAGCUACGCUAAUACCGCAUACGAUCUAUGGGAUGAAAGCGGGGGAUCGCAAGACCUCGCGCGAUUGGAGCGGCCGAUAUCAGAUUAGGUAGUUGGUGAGGUAAAGGCUCACCAAGCCGACGAUCUGUAGCUGGUCUGAGAGGACGACCAGCCACACUGGGACUGAGACACGGCCCAGACUCCUACGGGAGGCUAGCAGUGGGAAUUUUGGACAAUGGACGCAAGUCUGAUCCAGCCAUUCCGCGUGCAGGAUGAAGGCCCU